CGCCAGGGAGCGGCGUCGGCAGAGGAUUGAAAAUCCUUGUGUCGGUGGUUCGAUUCCGCCCCGGGCCA
rnacentral:tRNA from 1 species